GAUGAACGCUGGCGGCGUGCCUAAUACAUGCAAGUCGAGCGAACAGACGAGGAGCUUGCUCCUCUGACGUUAGCGGCGGACGGGUGAGUAACACGUGGAUAACCUACCUAUAAGACUGGGAUAACUUCGGGAAACCGGAGCUAAUACCGGAUAAUAUAUUGAACCGCAUGGUUCAGUAGUGAAAGACGGUUUUGCUGUCACUUAUAGAUGGAUCCGCGCCGCAUUAGCUAGUUGGUAAGGUAACGGCUUACCAAGGCAACGAUGCGUAGCCGACCUGAGAGGGUGAUCGGCCACACUGGAACUGAGACACGGUCCAGACUCCUACGGGUGGCAGCAGUAGGGAAUCUUCCGCAAUGGGCGAAAGCCUGACGGAGCAACGCCGCGUGAGUGAUGAAGGUCUUCGGAUCGUAAAACUCUGUUAUUAGGGAAGAACAAAUGUGUAAGUAACUAUGCACGUCUUGACGGUACCUAAUCAGAAAGCCACGGCUAACUACGUG
rnacentral:rRNA from 1 species